rnacentral:rRNA from 1 species
AAUGAACGUUGGCGGCGUGGAUUAGGCAUGCAAGUCGGACGCCCCGAAAGGGGAGUGGCGCAAGGGUGAGUAAGGCGGCGGUAACCAACCCCACGGUUGGGCAUAGCCGAGGGAAACCUCGGGUAAUUCCCAGCGACGUCGCGAUGCGGCAUCGCAUCGCGACCAAAGAUUCAUCGCCGUGGGACGGGCCGCUGUGGUAUUAGCUCGUUGGCGGGGUGACGGCCCACCAAGGCUGCGAUGCCUACCGGGUGUGCGAGCAUGACCCGGCACACAGGGACUGAGACACUGCCCAGACUCCUACGGGAGGCUGCAGUCGAGAAUCUUCGGCAAUGGGCGCAAGCCUGACCGAGCGACGCCGCGUGGAGGACGAAGGCCUUCGGGUUGUAAACUCCUGUCGAGGGGGAGGAAGCCUUCGGGUUGACCGAUCCCUGGAGGAAGGACGGGCUAAGUUCGUGCCAGCAGCCGCAGUAACAC